GCGUAAGCGCACGCAGGCGGUCUGUCAAGUCGGAUGUGAAAUCCCCGGGCUCAACCUGGGAACUGCAUUCGAAACUGGCAGGCUAGAGUCUUGUAGAGGGGGGUAGAAUUCCAGGUGUAGCGGUGAAAUGCGUAGAGAUCUGGAGGAAUACCGGUGGCGAAGGCGGCCCCCUGGACAAAGACUGACGCUCAGGUGCGAAAGCGUGGGGAGCAAACAGGAUUAGAUACCCUGGUAGUCCACGCCGUAAACGAUGUCGACUUGGAGGUUGUGCCCUUGAGGCGUGGCUUCCGGAGCUAACGCGUUAAGUCGACCGCCUGGGGAGUACGGCCGCAAGGUUAAAACUCAAAUGAAUUGACGGGGGCCCGCACAAGCGGUGGAGCAUGUGGUUUAAUUCGAUGCAACGCGAAGAACCUUACCUACUCUUGACAUCCAGAGAACUUUCCAGAGAUGGAUUGGUGCCUUCGGGAACUCUGAGACAGGUGCUGCAUGGCUGUCGUCAGCUCGUGUUGUGAAAUGUUGGGUUAAGUCCCGCAACGAGCGCAACCCUUAUCCUUUGUUGCCAGCGGUUAGGCCGGGAACUCAAAGGAGACUGCCAGUGAUAAACUGGAG
rnacentral:rRNA from 1 species